ACUGACGCUCAUGCACGAAAGCGUGGGGAGCAAACAGGGUUAGAUACCCUGGUAGUCCACGCCCUAAACGAUGUCAACUGGUUGUUGGGAAUUCACUUUCUCAGUAACGAGGCUAACGCGUGAAGUUGACCGCCUGGGGAGUACGGCCGCAAGGUUAAAACUCAAAGGAAUUGACGGGGACCCGCACAAGCGGUGGAUGAUGUGGUUUAAUUCGAUGCAACGCGAAAAACCUUACCCACCUUUGACAUGUACGGAAGAUCGCAGAGACGCGAUUGUGCUCGAAAGAGAGCCGUAACACAGGUGCUGCAUGGCUGUCGUCAGCUCGUGUCGUGAGAUGUUGGGUUAAGUCCCGCAACGAGCGCAACCCUUGUCAUUAGUUGCUACAUUCAGUUGGGCACUCUAAUGAGACUGCCGGUGACAAACCGGGGGAAGGUGGGGAUGACGUCAAGUCCUCAUGGCCCUGAUAGGUGGGGCUACACACGUCAUACAAUGGCUGGUACAAAGGGUUGCCAACCCGCGAGGGGGAGCCAAUCCCACAAAGCCAGUCGUAGUCCGGAUCGUAGUCUGCAACUCGACUACGUGAUGUCGGAAUCGCUAGUAAUCGUGGAUCAGAAUGUCACGGUGAAUACGUACCCGGGUCUUGUACACACCGCCCGUCACACCAUGGGAGCGGGUUCUGCCAGAAGUAGGUAGCCUAACCGUAAGGAGGGCGCUACCACGGCAGGGUC
rnacentral:rRNA from 1 species